GCGUGUUCAGUUUCGGGCCAUCUGUCUUA
rnacentral:piRNA from 1 species